AGAAGAAGGUAAAGGUUUUCGUUUCUCCAGGCAGAAUCACACCUGAGAGGGACGAGACAGAGUUUUCACCAAAUAGGAGCUGCAGAGCCCCAAGUCUGCAUGCAUAGGGUUAAGUAAGUCCCAGGUAGGGUGGCCAAGGGUUCCGGCUUGCCCAGGAUGGAGAGCUUUCUUGAGAUGUGGGACUUGCAGGGCUAACACCAGGACUGUCCCAAGCAUCCAGGGACAGUCGGUCGUCCCAGCCUCAGGGCUGUGCAUACGUGUAAGGGAACCCCUAGAAUGCUUCUGCUCCCCGGUAGCUCGCCCCCUGUGUUCUCAAACGUUCCACCGUUCCCCAACAGACAGAAAGAGGAGAUGCUGCGCUUCAUGAAAAAACACCGGACGGGAGUUCCCUGGUGGCCUAGCAGUUAAGGGUCUGGCAUCACCACUGCUGUGGCUCAGGUCACCGCUGAGGUGUGGGUUCAGCCCUUGGUCUGGAAACUUCUAGGAGAGAAGGUCUUGGAAAGAGUCCGGCUGGGACCGUCGUCGCCAGUCAUACCAAAUGGCCACGGUGCCGUUAUUGACCACGGUCAGUUCCGAAGAUGUUUUCUCCCCUUCUAGAGUUUCGAAGGUCAAGCGGACAGCAAUCCCAACAUGCUUCUGGGGAGAGAGGAGGUCUAGAAAUGUCUUUGAAGGCAGUCCUGCCCUCGGGUGACCAACUCAGCCCGCGUUGCCGGGACGUUUCCGGCCUUGGCACUGAGAGUCUCAUGGCCUGGAUCUCCAGGGCCCGGCCACUCUCAGGCAGCCUGCUCCUCACCCAUCUCCGCCUGGAUGGAGCGGGGCUUCCUGAUGUGGGUGAUUGGUUCCACGAGGCCACGCUGAGUUUUUGUCUUCGUCAUUACCAGACCCGUCAUUUCAUCUCCCAAGUAUUCCAGUCGACUCCAGAACCCAUUGGUCAAUCCAGAGACCUGGCGAUGGGAGACAGAUGAGUCAGCCCACCUGAGCACCCUGGAGAGGCUGCUGGGGGGCCAGGGGAGGCAGCUCUGUACAAACGAACCUCGGUGUUCCCUCGAGCAAGUGCAAUUCUCUUGAAGUCAUGGAGACUCCCCAAGAUAUGGUGAGACAAGAUCUGGUCACUGCCGUGGAAGAUGUCGCCUGGUCCUGGGGGUAAAAAGAGCGGGGAAGGCAAGCUGCAGCCAGCGGUAUAAACGGCUCAAGAGGCUGCUUCCUGAUGGGGACCUGGCUUUCUCUCCAGGGUGACCCAUGACUUCAGAUGCCAGGGCCGGGG